CGCCGGCGACCGGCGCACGGGUGAGUAACACGUAUGCGACCUGCCCCCCGCAGGGGGAUAACCGGGAGAAAUCCCGACUAAUACCGCGUAACGCCGCGGACCUGCAUGGGUCUGCGGCCAAAGGAAGCGAUUCCGGCGGGGGAUGGGCAUGCGGCGCAUUAGCUAGUCGGCGGGGUAACGGCCCACCGAGGCGACGAUGCGUAGGGGUUCUGAGAGGAAGGUCCCCCACACUGGUACUGAGACACGGACCAGACUCCUACGGAAGGCAGCAG
rnacentral:rRNA from 1 species